rfam:Caenorhabditis remanei strain PB4641 contig79.19, whole genome shotgun sequence.
UCCACCUUUUAGGACUUCACGACAAUCGAAUACCUUCCACACACUGGAUAUUCGUUGUUGAUGAAGUCUUAAUGGGUGUC